rnacentral:rRNA from 1 species
AUUGAACGCUGGCGGCAGGCCUAACACAUGCAAGUCGAACGGUAGCACAGAGGAGCUUGCUCCUUGGGUGACGAGUGGCGGACGGGUGAGUAAUGUCUGGGAAACUGCCCGAUGGAGGGGGAUAACUACUGGAAACGGUAGCUAAUACCGCAUAACGUCGCAAGACCAAAGAGGGGGACCUUCGGGCCUCUUGCCAUCGGAUGUGCCCAGAUGGGAUUAGCUAGUAGGUGGGGUAACGGCUCACCUAGGCGACGAUCCCUAGCUGGUCUGAGAGGAUGACCAGCCACACUGGAACUGAGACACGGUCCAGACUCCUACGGGAGGCAGCAGUGGGGAAUAUUGCACAAUGGGCGCAAGCCUGAUGCAGCCAUGCCGCGUGUAUGAAGAAGGCCUUCGGGUUGUAAAGUACUUUCAGCGAGGAGGAAGGCGUUGUGGUUAAUAACCGCAACGAUUGACGUUACUCGCAGAAGAAGCACCGG